UUGACGGGGCCGCACAAGCGGUGGAGCAUGUGGUUAAUUCGAUGCAACGCGAAGAACCUUACCUGGGCUUGACAUCCCGGGAAUCCCCUGGAAACAGGGGAGUGCCCUUCGGGAACCCGGUGACAGGUGCUGCAUGGCUGUCGUCAGCUCGUGUCGUGAGAUGUUGGGUUAAGUCCCGCAACGAGCGCAACCCUUGUCUUUAAUUGCCAUCAUUUAGUUGGGCACUUUAAAGAGACUGCCGGUGUUAAGCCGGAGGAAGGUGGGGAUGACGUCAAGUCCUCAUGGCCUUUAUGCCCAGGGCUACACACGUGCUACAAUGGGUGGUACAAAGAGCAGCUAACUCGCGAGAGUAUGCAAAUCUCAAAAAGCCAUCCUCAGUUCGGAUUGGAGUCUGCAACUCGACUCCAUGAAGUUGGAAUCGCUAGUAAUCGCGGAUCAGCAUGCCGCGGUCGAAUACGUUCCCGGGCCUU
rnacentral:rRNA from 1 species